CAGAAGGACACCUACAAAUAAAAGAGACCGCAGAAGAGUCCAAAUCGAGACAAACUGGGAUCUCGCUGAGCUGCUUCUGACGCGUAAAAGGAGACGACAGGGACAAGUGCAGGAUCUCUGGCUGGGUUCAGUGACAGGAUGCCUUCUGUUCCACUAUGUUUGGAUGAUUCAGGAGAGGGCAGGGGGCAUUUAGAGUCGUACCUGUGAGGCUAGGAAGGAAAUGUGCUGUCGUCAGAGCUUUGCAUUUUAAACCGGCGGGAUAGCAGAAGAUGAAAAGGAUACUGCAGUGACGUAACAGAAGAAGCUGAGUUUGCAUAGAUCAUAUCAGGUUUUGGCAUCAGCCGGCAGGAUUAGAGCUCCAGCCAAAACAGGUGACAGGUGAUAAACUCAUGUCAACACUUCAUGAAAAGGACUAUAACACUGGAUUAACCAAACUACUGUUACAAACAAAAGG
ensembl:lncRNA